CAUCGUUGAUCUCUACGCUCUCGUGCAAUUGGUGUGUUGUGCGCGAUCGGCUUGCUCUAGAAGUAGUUGUGUAUUGUGGGUUUUGAUCAGUGAAGGAGGGUUGCGUGUGUUUUUUUUUAUCCGUUUGUUGUAAAAGAUGACGACCUCGAAGAGGCUUGCGGACAAGAAGAGCGCUAAGUUCCAGAAGAACGUGCACAGGAGGGGCAGUGUCCCAGAGACGACGAUUAAGAAGAAGAACCAGUAUCCUGUUGGUCCGAUGGUGCUCGGCCUGUUUGUUUUCGUCGUCAUUGGGUCUUCUCUCAUCCAGAUCCUCCGCACUGCUACCACCGGCGCCAUGGCGUGAUGAGGUGAUGGCGUGGAUAGCGAUUUUUUAGUGCAGUAUACACGGCUAUGCGGUUAUUUGUUUUAGGAGCUUAUGUCAUGAGGAAACCGCGCCGUAAUGGUUUCGAGGGUUUUCAUGGAGUGCUCAAUUG
rnacentral:lncRNA from 1 species